CUUUCAUUUCUUUCAGGACAUGCAUGAUAUGAGAGACUGCUAUGACAGAUUACUUUCAGCUUCAGCAGCAACUGCAAACAGCAUAUACGAAUCAUUGGAAGAAAUGGGUGACUGUCUUCUUGAGAAAACGGCUCUCAGUGAUGAUGAAGAAAGUGGGACGGAUAUGAAGAGAUAAUGAAGAAAUACAAAGAAAAAGGGAGAUUGAGAAAUAGUAGUAGAGAAUGCUUUUCCUCACACCAAUUGCAACUAGCCCGUGAUGAAUAUUAUGAGGAAGCAAAUGUAUUAGUAUUCCAUAUGAAGUCUCUAAAGCAAGGACAAUCCCGUAGUCUUCUAACACAGGCAACUCGGCAUCAUGCUGCAACAAUUGGUGAUGGAGAAUUGACCUUUGACUAUUGACAAAUUAACCCAGUGGUAGAAGUCUCUACAUUAGCACACUCAAUGGAGUUGGAUAACAUUGAUACUGCAUCUCCUCUUAACAUCAAAUAUGGUGCAGCAAAGGUAAAUCAAGUCACGAUGAGCAACUUACAAGCGGUUGGCGGAGUAAAGAAGCUCAAUAAUCAGAAUUACACUAUAUGACAAACUUGUAUGGAGUCUCAUAUCUCCAAGGGCAAGAUUUGUGGAAGGUAGUUGGCGGAAUUGACAUGAUGCUGCCAGAGGAGGCCGAAGUUUUGAAAAAGUGGAGAAUCAAAGCGGGUAAGGCUUUGUUCGAUAUAAAAACAAUAAUCGAAGAAGAAUUGUUGGAGCACAUAAGAGACAAGACUACACCAAAUGAUGUAUGGGAUACUUUGGCUUCAUUAUCCUCGAAGAAAAAUAACCCGAGGUUGCAGCUUUUGGAGAACGAGCUUCUCUUGAUCACUUAACAUGAAUUAACAUACAAGGUUGGCCAAAACAACCUUCAGUGGUUAAUCUUGAGAAUUUGUUGACUGAUCAAGAAGCGUUAACCAGACAAAUGUUAGGAGUUUCGAUAAAGAAAGAGGAUGAAGAAGCAUUAUUUAGCUACAAAAGACGAGGUCAAUUUCGUCAGCAAAAUUAUAAAGAAUUCAAAGAAGAUAAAUUUAAAGGAUAGAUUGAAGGAGGCUACCAGACAAGGGGAGUUCAACAAAAUUGAGACAAGAGAGGAAAAUUUAGAAAGAAAUCCGGGUCAAAUUUAUUUUUCCUACGGCAGAGAGUUUAAGACAAUUAGCAAAUCAGCACCUCUCCUUCCUGAGAAUAAACUCAAUCUGGCUGGGCGUCUGUCGCAGUUGCGGCCUUCACCAUCAUACAAGUUCACAUCAUAUGUGCUACCCACGCCAGUGGAGACAAAGGACCCAGGUUUUUGUAAAUCAGGUGGUGAAGUUCCUCAAACAAGACAAGCUAACAUGAAUUUGUGGCAUUCAUCCCCUUUGGCGCAUAACAAAUAUGAAAAGCUUGUGGCAAUUCAUAAUCAGUGCUCAAAGAGAGCAACAUCAAUACAAGAGGCAGUCAAUUGUCCCCUCCAUUCUCCGAUGGCCGCUCAUCAAAAUGGUUUGAUCCAAGUGUUGCAUCAAAUUUCUCAUCUAGUGGUUCUAUUUUGUCAUCAGGAUAUCCUCCAUUUUCAGGGUCUCUUUUGCGCACUCCACUAUCUCUACCCACAUCGACUCCCAAAUUGUCUUCAAUUGUGUCACCAACUUUUGUGUCAUCACCUAAAAUAAGUGAACUUCAUGAGCUCUCUCUGCUGCCGGCCCAUUCAGCAUAUAAGAUACCAUCCAAUCGCAUUGCUCAUUCAGGUCCCUUGGUACCUAAAGGUAAUGAGCAAGCCCAUAUCAAAGUCUACACCUCCAAUGCCACAAAUAAUUUCUCGUAGUUAUUCCAUUCCUUCUGGAGGUCAAACAGAAGUGGCAUCUCCUUUUCCUUUAGAAGCUUCUCAAACUUCAAAGAUGACCGAUGAUAUUUCUUCACCUCCUUUAACACCAAUUUCCUUACCAGAUCACCAUCCCCUACAUCUAGAUGACAUCUUGGUCAGUUACACGAGAGGUAACUUUUGAACUAGUUUUCUAAAUGAUGUCCAUCAACCUUCUUUUUCAUUUUUAAGAUUAUAAAUUGCAAUUUGGUUAAAAAGUUGUUUAGAAGCUGGGUAAUGAGCAUGCUUCCAGCUUCCUUUUGGAACAGGGCAGUUCAACCAUUUCCUUGACAUUACUUUAGUUGUGCGUACUUGAGAUUAA